CCCGCCCCAAAACUUCCCUUCUGCUUCCUUUUUUUUUUAAUGUUUUUUUUCCCUUCACAAUCACAUGGAUUUAGUGAUUCUUCUUCUUCUUUACUUUACAUCUUGGUAUUUGCCUGAGACUUGAGAUUCUGACAUUAAGUUGCCACUGUUGACCUGCUUUGACUCCCCAGCUCCAGCUGCUAAAGCAAGAACAUCAGGUGAUAUUUCCCAGCUUCCACUUUUUCUGCCCAUCCUAGAGCGCCUGGAGUGUAAGACGCUACGUCCUUCCAAACCCUGUGGGGGAAGGAUCCUGCUUAAAUCCGGAGAAACAUCAGUCAAUCCACCAUCCUCACCCCGACUGUCACCAUUCCUUCUUGCUCUAUCAUAAUCACCCCCUUCUCUUGCAAUGUCAUCCAAUACAGGCUUCCUCCCCAUCUCUAUGUCACCUACAGAUUUUUCUAUGUUUGCACCCACAAAACUACCCAUUCUGGGUGGAAUUUCAGGCUCCUUGCAAACUUUUGUCCUGAAAUUAUUCUUAGAUGGAGGAAUGCUAGAGCAAAAGAUCUCCAAGAAGUUCUGAAACAAUCCUUUGUCAAAUGGGUUGGCUAGUCCAACAUAUCGAUAUCUAAAAUUUUCAUAAGUAGACUGCCAAAAGAAAAACAGAGAGCAAAACCAAGAUUAGAGAAAAUUCAAGAUUCAGAUGAAAUUACAGGAAUCAGCUUAUAAUAUAAACAGAUAAGGCAUGGUUGUUAAUAGGAAAAUGAACAGCGUUCAGCAAGAGCCAAUGACAGGGAUGCUCAACUGAAAACCACAUUAUAAAUCUCAAUGCACCAUGUAGAAUGGUUUCUUACCUGGUUUUUACUGAUUAGAUACAAAUGGAACACACUAAGGCCACCAACAAACCAAACAGAUAUAAAGGUGUAAACUACUAGCACAAUGGAAGCAGGAGUCUUUGUCAUUGCUUUCCAAAUUGUUGUCUCCUCACUAUUCAUGAUCCUCUUGAUGUAAACCCAACAAAAUCCAUGUACAUAAAAGCAAAGAAGAGUUGCAGAGAACACAAACAUGAAGAAGAACCGGUAAUUCCUCUGCAUUCAAAAUCAAAGAGAAAUCAAAUUUGGAAGAAGCAUCAUCAUAUAUGCAGAUAUUUGAGUGAACACUGGUAAAUAUAACUGAAAAAAAGUCCCUUACUAUUUUUAGCAACAUCAUGUCCAUAAACCUUUCUGCAAUUUUUUUUAAAAGCACUGGUUACAGUUGAAAAACAAAUCCCUUAUUAAACUUGUUUAAAAAAGCAUUCUUUUUCUCCCUCACUGUGGAUGGGGACAAAUAAAUUCCAAUAUGGUUUAUUAUGAUGACGCAGAUAAUUUAAAUCCAGCAAAGAAAGAGUACAAUGACUGAAAGGUUAGGUUCCUUGCAGCAGAAUUAUAGAAAUGCUUUAAGAUUCAGAAAGCAAAAAAUAUUGUUUCAGGAGAAUGAUUAUACCAAUCCAAUGCAUUGACCAACCCAAGGACAGUGAUGAUCAAAUCUUUCCACACAGUUAUUACAUAUUGAACAGUGAGAACAGCGUGGAGGCCUAUAAAGCAUGCACGUGUCACAGUACUUGGUCUUCACAAUUAUUCCAUUGAUGAUAACAUCCUUUGUCCAUGGUAAACGAAAAGGUGGAGUUUGGCCUGUUGUCCCUUCAGUGUGCCCUUCACAACCUUCUAAUUCUGGAGGUUGAGCAUUACGAGGUAUUAUACCAGGAUCUCUUCCUGAGGUUAGCAGAAGAAGGAUUAAAUCAAAUGAUGUGAGUACAACGACAAUGACUACAAUUGAUAUUCCCCAGUGAUGAGGAAAAUCAUCCAUCAGCUUUCUUGCUACAAAGACGCAAAAAAUAGCAACUGGAGCAACAAUAAGAAAUAUGGUUAGCAGAAGGGAUCUUGCGUCAGGUCCGAAUAUAAGCCUCCCUUUAAGGAAAAAUAUAUUGCUGCCUUUCCAGACUUGGUAAGUCCUGAGCCGAUCCGUCCCAUCGUCGGAGACGGCAUCUCCGGCUACUGGAUCCGGGGUCCGAGGUGGAGGAGGUUGGACUCCAUAAGUCUCUCUCAUCCCCUCCCUUUUCUUCUCCUCUCUCUUUCUGAAAAAAGUACUCUUUACACUCUUUUUCUCUCCCUAAAAUGCAAUCAAAUACACAAAGGUCAAUUCCAACAGCACUGCAAUUACAAUUCUAACGCAAAAAAGAGUGGAUGAAAGGAGAAAAGCAAAUAAAGGCGGCUCUUUUAUUAAUAAUAGAAAAAGAGUGCUCCUUUUGACUUGUUUUUUUUUGUUUUCUUUGUUUUUUUUUUUUUUUUUUUU
rnacentral:misc_RNA from 1 species